GGCCUCGUGGUCUAGUGGUAUGAUUCGUGCUUCGGGUAACUCCCACACCUUGUAAAAGGUGCUAGCAUGUGCGAGGUCUCGGGUUCAAAUCCCGACGAGGCCC